rnacentral:lncRNA from 1 species
GAAACCUGACAAGUUUCUCUGGAAAAGUGGCCAUCCAAGAAAUGAAUGAAAUGUUCUCUUUCUAGUCCA